AGAGUUGAUCAUGGCUCAGGACAACGCUGGCGGCGUGCUUAACACAUGCAAGUCGAACGGGCACUUCGGUGCUAGUGGCGAACGGGUGAGUAAAGCGCAGGUAAUCUGCCGCAAAGAUGGGGACAACGUUCCGAAAGGGACGCUAAUACCGAAUGAAAUGUAAAUAUCGCAUGAUGUUUACAUCAAAGAUUUAUCGCUUUGCGAGGAGCCUGCGUCCGAUUAGGUAGUUGGUGGGGUAAAGGCCUACCAAGCCGACGAUCGGUAGCCGGUCUGAGAGGAUGAACGGCCACAAUGGAACUGAGACACGGUCCAUACUCC
rnacentral:rRNA from 1 species